GAUUAACGCUAGCGGCAGGCAUAAUACAUGCAAGUUGAACGGCAGCACAGGUAGCAAUACUGGGUGGCGAGUGGCGCACGGGUGCGUAACACGUAUGCAACCUACCCUAUACAGGCGAAUAACCUUUAGAAAUGAGGGCUAAUACGCCGUAGUAUUACAGAUGGGCAUCUAUUUGUAAUUAAAGAUUUAUCGGUAUAGGAUGGGCAUGCGUCCCAUUAGUUAGUUGGUAAGGUAACGGCUUACCAAGACGAUGAUGGGUAGGGGAUCUGAGAGGACUUACCCCCACACUGGGACUGAGACACGGACCAGACUCAUACGGGAGGCAGCAGUAAGGAAUAUUGGGCAAUGGCCGAGAGGCUGACCCAGCCAUGCCGCGUGCAGGAAGACGGCCUUAUGGGUUGUAAACUGCUUUUAUACGGGAAUAAUAGAGUGUACGCGUACAUUUAUGCAAGUAUCGUAUGAAUAAGCAUCGGCUAACUCCGUG
rnacentral:rRNA from 1 species